CUGCGCAGGCCGCCUAGGCGGCUGGCUGAUCAGAGUGGCCCCGGAAACUUGGACAGUUUUGAGUCUACGCGCGAGUGAACUAGGUGCAGCGGUGACCCAGCUGAAGACGUUUGGAAACAUUCUGGCGCCGAGCGCUGGGCGCGGAGUAGGAUGUGUGGAUCUGGGCAGGCGAAGGCUGUGCUUUCCUAGAAUCUGGAUUGUAACGGGGAGGCAGGUUUCUGAGGAAUCGAGGUUCUUUGCCGGUAGAAAACGCUGCCCUUAUUGGAAGUUCCAGGCAGGCAAGAAGGAAUGCAGAGCAUUGUGUAUGCACGUGUAGACUCCACCCAGAGUAUUGUAGCUAUUGUACCGGUUCAUCUUGUUUCAUUCCAAAGCCCACAGUGGAAGGUUGCUAGGCGGGUACGUUAUUCCAGGUGCCACUCACUAGGUGUGCGACCACAGGAACGUGCACACCCUCUCUGCGUCUCAGUCUCUCACAUGCACAAUACAGAGCCUGUGCGAUGUGGUGGGCUAUCAUAUAAGGAAGGAGUGAAUUCCUACUGAGAACAGCAGUGCCUGCGCCACUCAGAGGACUCUAUUCACAUUACUGGAAGUGCUGCUGCAUCCUGAGGGCUUGCCAGGUUCUGUAUCAGAAUCAAGUGGCCAUGCCACUGGAAACCACAGGGCAGACUGGUUCAAGGUGCAUUGAGAAACACCAGGAUACACCAGCCUGAGCUGUGAGAGUCACAAGAACUUCUUGGGAAAGGUAUGUACCAGUGUU